ACGCUCGACACCUACGGGAGGCAGCAGUGGAGAAUAUUGCACAAUGGGGGAAACCCUGAUGCAGCGACGCCGCGUGGAGGAAGAAGGUCUUCGGAUUGUAAACUCCUGUUGUUGGGGAAAAAGAGGAUGGUACCCAACAAGGAAGUGACGGCUAACUACGUGCCAGUAGCCGCGGUAAUCUGAGCGGGCUGGCAAGGC
rnacentral:rRNA from 1 species